rnacentral:rRNA from 1 species
UACAGAGGCCUCGAGCGUUAGGCGGAAUCACUGGGCUUAAAGCGUGUGUAGGCGGACUUCUAAGUACCUUGUGAAAUCCCACGGCUUACCCGUGGAACUGCUGGGUAUACUGGUUGUCUUGAGCUUUCUAGGGGCGAGCGGAACAAAUGGUGGAGCGGUGAAAUGCGUAGAUAUCAUUUGGAACGCCAAUGGUGAAAACAGCUCGCUGGGGAAAUGCUGACGCUGAGACACGAAAGCCAGGGGAGCGAACGGG